UUCACCCUGCAGUGUUCGAGGUGCCUUAUUAAACAGCUCUUCGCCUUUGCUACAUUACGGGAGCUAAGAACGUCGCGGAAGCUGCUAGGCCGUAAAUCGGAAAGCAAACGCUGCGGAGGAGGUGCCCACUUAUACUUAAAGAGGACUUGAGCCCUUGAGGCAUACGGCACAGGCGGGGUGUUA
rnacentral:other from 1 species